ACGGAAGGCAGCAGUGGGGAAUAUUGCACAAUGGGCGAAAGCCUGAUGCAGCGACGCCGCGUGAGUGAAGAAGUAUCUCGGUAUGUAAAGCUCUAUCAGCAGGGAAGAAAAUGACGGUACCUGACUAAGAAGCCCCGGCUAACUACGUGCCAGCAGCCGCGGUAAUACGUAGGGGGCAAGCGUUAUCCGGAUUUACUGGGUGUAAAGGGAGCGUAGACGGUUUGGCAAGUCUGAAGUGAAAUGCGGGGGCUCAACUCCUGAACGGCUUUGGAAACUGUCGAACUAGAGUGCAGGAGAGGUAAGUGGAAUUCCUAGUGUAGCGGUGAAAUGCGUAGAUAUUAGGAGGAACACCAGUGGCGAAGGCGGCUUACUGGACUGUAACUGACGUUGAGGCUCGAAAGCGUGGGGAGCAAACAGGAUUAGAUACCCUGGUA
rnacentral:rRNA from 1 species